GUAUUUAUUGUUUACCUUAAAUCCAUUUUUUUUUUUGAGACAGAGUCUCACUUUGUCGCCAGGCUAGAGUGCAGUGGCACAAUCUUGGCUCACUGCAACCUCUGCCUCCCGGGUUCAAGCGAUUCUCCUGCCUCAGCCUCCCAAGUAGCUGGGACUACAGGUGCGUGCCACCACGCCCAGCUAAUUUUUAUAUUUUUAGUAGAGACCGGGUUUUACCAUGUUGGCUAGGGUGGUCUCACUCUCUUGACCUCAUGAUCCGCCCACCUCAGCCUCCCAAAGUGCUGGGAUUACAGGCAUGAGUCACCACGCAGGGCCUGAAAUCCAAAUUUAACAGGAUGUCUUUUACUUUUAUUUGCUACCCUACCCCUACUUCCAUCUCCAAGUAUAGUUUCCUUGAUGGCAAAACAUGUUUCUCACUGGUCUCUGAAUCCCUGAAACUAGCCCAGUGCACGACAGUUCAUGCUCGGUUAAUAUGAAGAGAAGGCAACUUAUCUGGCUGCAGCGCUGAGAAUGGUUGGAGGGAGUUGUGACUGGAGACAGUGAGACCAGGAGGGAAGGUGGAACUAAGGAUCCCGAAUCCGUUUGGAGGCAGAGAGGGGCCAACAGGGUGUUUGAAGGGAGCAAAGGCAUCGAAAUUUUUGGAGCAUCUAGAACUGGGGCAGUGAAUGCAGAAGAGUGGGAGCACACACACGUUUCUCCUCCUUGACCCAGAAUGGGCACAGCCUUCAGAGAGCUCUUGCCAGCUCCUCACUCUAGCCUGGGUGAAGGGGGCAUCUGUGCCAAAGCAGGAAGGCACACAGGCGGAUUGGAAGGAAUUUCUCUCAGCAGCGUCAAAUGCCUGAGGGAUCUCGCCCUCGACCCUCUCCAUCUCUCAUGGUACUCUCAUUCACCCCCGGCUGCAGCUCCUGCCUCUGUGCUGACAGCUGUCACAUCAAUCCAGCCCAGACCUCCCUCGGCAGCUCUAGACCAGCAGAUCCCACUGCCUCCUGACAACCCCUCUGGAUGUCCCACAGUUCCUCAGACUUAGCAUCCUUUCCAAAUCCAUGCCCCCAUCUCAUUUCCAAAAAAGAAAAAUCAUAGAGGCCUCCCCAAUACAAAUGCAUAGGACAUGGGAAACAAGGUUUGAAAGGAUAUCCAGAAAAGCUUAGGGAUAGCCCUGGCCUUUUGGAGGUGACUUGGGGGUGGUAUGAGAGGCCAGAGUCAGCAGUAACUUCUCCUUUCUUCCCCACGAAGGUGUGGACUUCUUAGCUUCCUGUCCUUUUCGUACCAUUUGCCAAAUUGAAUUUAAAUAAUUAUUACUGUAAUUGCUUACUUAUUGUCUGUCUCUCCUGGUUGAAGCUUCUCAAGGGCAGGGAUCAUGUCUGUUUCACUUCUGUAUCCUUGGCAUCUGUCAUAUAAUCAGUAUCUGACAUAUAAUAGGUGCUUAAUAAAUAUUUGUUUGAAUUAAUGAAUAUCCUUGUUCAUCACCCAAGAUGCAGAUCCUGCUGGGGCCCUUAUCUUUUCCUGCCUCCUUAUCCACAUGGAGCUCUGUGCUUUGCUCACCGGAGCCAGCACCCCACCGCACCCUCUACCAACCCUCGGUUUUUUUCAGAUGCCCUCAUGCCCUGGGCUGCUUCAUGGAAUGUGGAUAGUGAGUUAACCAUGCUGGCCUGUCUGCAAGCAGAGGCAUGUGUAUAUCUGACAAGGCACCCUCAAGACAAUUCCCUGGAUG
rnacentral:lncRNA from 10 species